GACGAACGCUGGCGGCGUGCCUAACACAUGCAAGUUGAGCGACGAACCAGGGCUUGCCCUGGGGCAAAGCAGCGAACGGGUGAGUAACACGUGGGUAACCUACCCCGAUAACCGGGACAACCCGAGGAAACUCGGGCUAAUACCGGAUGUGCCCACUGGACUUCGGUUCAGUGCGUAAAGGAAGCUUCGGCCUCCGUAUCGGGAGGGGCCCGCGGCCCAUUAGUUUGUUGGUGAGGUAACGGCUCACCAAGACCGCGAUGGGUAGCUGGUCUGAGAGGACGAUCAGCCACACUGGGACUGAGACACGGCCCAGACUCCUACGGGAGGCAGCAGUGGGGAAUCUUGCGCAAUGCGCGAAAGCGUGACGCAGCAACGCCGCGUGGGGGAAGAAGGCCUUCGGGUUGUAAACCCCUUUCAGGAGGGACGAAGGUUCGGCGGUGAAUAGCCGUCCGGACUGACGGUACCUCCACAAGAAGCCCCGGCUAACUACGUG
rnacentral:rRNA from 1 species